UACGUAGGGGGCAAGCGUUGUCCGGAUUUAUUGGGCGUAAAGAGCGUGUAGGCGGCUUUACAGGUCCGUUGUGAAAACUCGAGGCUCAACCUCGAGACGCCGGUGGAAACCGUAAGGCUAGAGUCCGGAAGAGGAGAGUGGAAUUCCUGGUGUAGCGGUGAAAUGCGCAGAUAUCAGGAGGAACACCAGUGGCGAAGGCGGCUCGCUGGACCGGUUCUGACGCUGAUGCGCGAAAGCGUGGGGAGCAAACGGG
rnacentral:rRNA from 1 species